rnacentral:lncRNA from 1 species
UAGCGUCUCCGUUAAUGUUUUGGACUGGGAUAACAGUCAGGGAUUCCUGGUGCUAAAGUUGAUGUUCCUGGAGUUAUGCAAGAGGCCCUCUGUGGACAUCAUCCAGAAGAACAGAACAAAAACAAAGCUGCCUCCCUCACACUGACUCACAUUUUACUGGCCCCCACAUUACUUUACUGACGCACGUGCGCGCAGGUUCAGUUCAAACAUUCAUCAUCCCAGAACUUUUCUAGCCUGUACCAUCUAUUUACACGCCGGGAAAUGACACUACCCACGUGCUUUCGCCCCUAAACAGGAGUUAAGCGAAAAUAAUGAGCACGUGCUCCCGUUUUUAAAGCUAGUUUUCCUUAUAAUAUCCACAAAGUAAACGUUAAAGUCCUUCUCUCUUCGUGGAGGUGGUGCUGGCCUCACGGUUGGUUUGAGCCAGCUGGAAGAGCAGGCGAAGGCCACACUGAGCGGGGCUGCAGAACACAGAGUUCCGGGCGGACACACGGACUCUUUAAAGCCUUCCGCGGUGAGGAUGACGAGAAGCGACAGGGCGAGAGCCCCGGCCCCGGGCGGCCCCCUGCCCACCAUUACCGCUCUGCCCGCAGCAGCCUGCAGUCGGAAUGCAUGCUGCUCGCUCCUGGACCGGCGGCGGCACCGCUCCAACCCGGACCUGAAGAAGCGCGAGCCUGUGCGUCGUCGAGGGUUAGAGCCCCCGCGUGCUCCGCGCUAGGAGUUGUUUUAUUUUAGUUGUCGAGUUGCUCCGAUGGAGGAGGUAACUGAUCCGCGCACACGCAGCCAAUCUGUGCAGAUACUUCCUCGACUGAGGCUCCUCCCCCCGGGGCCCCCAAGUGACCUGAGUGGAUCCUUCUGCUUGAAGGCUGCUUCCUCACCGGGUUGUCUCUGUACAAUGGGGCUUGACGUCACUGCGAACCGGCUCAGGCGAUUCGAUUUCCGGUUUGUCACAAUAAAAUAGAUUUGUCAACCUUUUUUAUUUUGAAAGAUAUUGAGUUGAAAUCGUAGUGAAAUCUUAUCAAUUAAUCAAUUUUAUGUAACGAAAUGCAAACAAAAGUAAUAUGAAAUAUAAAAAUUAGGGGUGGGCGAAGGGUGAUGAGUGUGAAUUAAGAAACAAAUAAUUACAGAGCUGAUAUAUAUUGUUAUCGAAACUUUUAAUUUCAGAUGUGAGCAUUAAACAAUUUUGUAAAUUCGAUAUGUUUCGUUAUUUAUAUAUCAGCACCCCACAGCUUUUUCUACUUUUUAAAACCUUUAAAACCGGAGCUCCAGCGUUCUUUGAUUUACUGUAACUUUUCAACUAUUAACAGCAUGAACAAUGUAAUUCCAGCCAAUUAUGCAGGAAAAAAGUGACUCUCCUGCAGUAUGUUAAAGAUUUUGUUUUUAAGUGUCACUGGCGACGCCUCAGGUGUUAAAGGCAGUAAUAAACUAACAGUCACUAGUGCAAAGUAAACAAAGGCAAAACUGUAAGAACAUAAAAAUAUAUAUAUAAUAUAUAUAUAUAUCAUAUAAUAUAUAACAUAUUAUAAUAUAUAUAUAUAUAUUAUAAUAAUAUAAUAUAUAAUAUAUAUAUAUAUAU